rnacentral:rRNA from 1 species
AACUUUCAGCAACGGAUCUCUUGGCUCUCGCAUCGAUGAAGAACGCAGCGAAAUGCGAUAAGUAAUGUGAAUUGCAGAAUUCAGUGAAUCAUCGAAUCUUUGAACGCACCUUGCGCUCCUUAGUAUUCCGAGGAGCAUGCCUGUUUGAGUGUCAUUA